AAAUAUGGCGACAAGGCAAAUCAAAAAGCACCACAAAAUUAACCAACCACAGCCAACCACAAAGGAACACGACCACAACCACACCGACCAGAGAGAAAGAGAGAGGAGAUAGAGAGAGGAGAUAGAGAGAGGAGAUAGAGAGAGGAGAUAGAGACAAACAGACACAGAGCAAGACGGACAGAGAGAUCAAGAGAGAGGAAGAGGGGAGAUAGAUAUAGUUAGUUAGUUAGAUAGAUAGAUAGAUAGAUAGAUAGAUAGAUAGAUAGAUAGAUAGAUAGAUAGACCGAGAUAAAGAGAGAGGAGGAGGGGGAUAGAUAUAGGUAGAUAGAUAGACAGAGAUAAAGAGAGAGGAGUAGGGGGAUAGAUAUAGGUAGAUAGAUAGACAGAGAUAAAGAGAGAGGAGUAGGGGGAUAGAUAUAGGUAGAUAGAUAGACAGAGAUAAAGAGAGAGGAGUAGGGGGAUAGAUAUAGGUAGAUAGAUAGACAGAGAUAAAGAGAGAGGAGUAGGGGGAUAGAUAUAGGUAGAUAGAUAGACAGAGAUAAAGAGAGAGGAGUAGGGGGAUAGAUAAAGGUAGAUAGACAUAGAUAAAGGUAGAUAGACAGAGAUGAAGAGAGAGGAGUAGGGGGAUAGAUAUAGGUAGAUAGACAUAGAUACAGGUAGAUAGACAGCGAUAAAGAGAGAGGAGUAGGGGGAUAGAUACAGGUAGAUAGACAUAGAUACAGAGAGAGGAGUAGGGGGAUAGAUAUAGGUAGAUAGACAUAGAUACAGGUAGAUAGACAGAGAUAAAGAGAGAGGAGUAGGGGGAUAGAUAUAGGUAGAUAGAUAGACAGAGAUAAAGAGAGAGGAGUAGGGGGAUAGAUAUAGGUAGAUAGAUAGACAGAGAUAAAGAGAGAGGAGUAGGGGGAUAGAUAUAGGUAGAUAGAUAGACAGAGAUAAAGAGAGAGGAGUAGGGGGAUAGAUAUAGGUAGAUAGAUAGACAGAGAUAAAGAGAGAGGAGUAGGGGGAUAGAUAUAGGUAGAUAGAUAGACAGAGAUAAAGAGAGAGGAUUAGGGGGAUAUAGAUAUAGGUAGAUAGAUAGACAGAGAUAAAGAGUGAGGAGUAGGGGGAUAGAUAUAGGUAGAUAGACAUAGAUAAAGAGAGAGGAGUAGGGGGAUAGAUAU